GUAGCGCUGGAGUGAGAGGUGGCAGCGUCUGAGCAGCCUGGAAAAGUCCCGCGGGGCUGAGGCGCGAGCCAAUAGGCAUGCAGGACCAACGGAGGGGGCGGGGAGGAGGGCGGGACCUUACCUGUCAGUCAGACCAGAACCCAGGGUAGGCAGAAGCCGGUUUUCUCCGCCUCCAAGGAGAGUCCCGCCCCCCCCCCACGAGGAUUGGCUGCUUUUGGGUCCUGCUCUUGUCUAUCAAAUAGUCUCCACUGCGUAGGUUCAGCCGGGAGGUUGUCAUUGAUACUUUGCUGUUUGUUUAGUGUGGAACGAACGCGGGUGGGGGAGCAUCCUCUGGCGCACGCGCUGGGUAGUGCAGUCUGAGCCCGGGAGGGGUUCUUUGGAGUGACCCUGGCUAUUCUGUGCUUUGACAAAGGCUCUUUACUCCACCAGAUUUCAGUCAGGUUCCCGAAUCUUCUAGGUCCAUCCGUAUCCUUUCUGGCACUGAUGAUGCAAGGCUAGUCCCCUUCGGUCAUCCCCUUAUACUCUGUCACCAGGUCCCAGAUGUCAUCAGGAUGCCGGCCAGGCUUCCCUGGACUGAAGACCCCACCAAUGUGUCCUUGAGCUCUGCUUCCCCAGAGACCCACCCUGUUAGGGAAAGAGAGAGGCAGACUGGGAGUAUGGACCGACCAGUCAACACCCAUGUU